ACCUGUUCGGCGUUCCAUGGUGGUGGCUCGGGCAGCAGGAGUUGUGUGAGAUGCUGGUGUUCAAGCUGCUUGUUGGCUGGAGAGCUGUGGAUGGGGACAGCUAGGU
rnacentral:miRNA from 12 species